CGUGUGAAGCGGGUUUUGAAAAGGCGGGCCAUGGAACCCGAUCGAGUACAGAAACUGGGGGUGGACAGUGAUAUGUUUAUGAACUCAGACCCGGGCUUUGAAACAGUUUUUAGCGAACAGCUAGCCGUAUCAGUCGUAGAAGAGACAAGCGAAUAUAAAAUUUACUGUAAUCUCAAAGUUGAAGUAAAUAAAAACCAACCGCCACCGAAGGAAAAGGUAAUUGCUGUGAAAAUCGUGGGAAUAAGCAAUCCUUUCUUUGUGUACAAGGGCAUAAUGACUGCAGCUGACUAUGAAAAUAUCAAAACUGAACAUUGUCUCUUUGUUGAUUUUACUAAGUUUAUUGAAGUAUUUUUGAAUUUGUUGAGACAGUGUUUACACUCAGACCAAGGAAGUUCGCUCAGGUAUGUUCUGCGUAUUGAAGAGAACAUUAUGUAUGAGAAAAGAGAAACUUUGCUUAAAAUUAUCGAGAUAAAUGACUUGAGGCAGAUGACUCACCUCUACAUUAAAAUACAAAAAUGUUCAGAAGAUGAAGUCAAGAAGAUUGUCACAGACAGAAUAAACUUGCUGCAGGAGGAAAGAAGAAAAUUCAUGCUCAAAAUGGAAGACUAUGAAUCAAAAAUGUUGCAGUUUGAGGCUGAAAUCAUGCUACAGAAAGCAAAGACUGAAGAAGUUUAUUAUGAAUAUGAGAAGAAGAUGUCACAGAUAUCAGAGAACCAUGCAAAAGACCUGGCUGCAGAAAGAGAGAGGACUCAACAAUUACUUGCUGAGAGAGAGAAACAGUACCAGGGAGAAUUAAAUGUUAAAGAUGAAGAGAUGCAAACGAAGAAAAUUUAUUGGGAACGUCAAGUUAAUGAAGGGUCUGCACUUCUGACCAAAGCACACGCGCAGAUUGGUUUGUUGGCAGUACAUGAAAAGUCUCUACGGAAAUCUCUGGAAGAGCGUGAAAGUGAGGUGUCUGAACUGAAAAGAGUAAAUUCUCAGUUAGUAAAUGAUAUUGAUGCAGUGAAAGGACAUAUGGAGCGCAAGGAAACAGAAUUACGAAAGAUUGCCCUUAACUACAAGGAAGUACUCCAAGAUUUUAUGGACGUGUCGUCUCGGACCGCCGAUCAGGAAAGAAGACUGAGCAAACUGGAGAAAGAAAAUGAAGUGAAGCGCCAAAAAAUUGAUAAAUACAAGAAAGAACAAGUUGACAAAAUGGAUACCAUUGAAGCACUGAAGAAACAGUUAUCCACUGCAAAGAACCACCUAACUGAAGGCAAACAGAAAUAUAUAAGCCUUGUUGACAAAUGUGAGAAAGCUGCAGAGCUAAUGGGCAGUCAGGAGAAGGCCUUGGAAGAUAUGAAGAAACUUUUGUCAGAUUAUCAAAAAGAGAAGGAAGAUAUUGUGAAAGAGAAUAAAUCUCUGACUGCAACUGUUAAGGAACUGAGAGAAAAAAUAGAAAGCAUGAAAAUGGAGUUAACUGAGAAGGACAACAACUUGAAAAGCUCAGAAAGUGUGAUUUCGUAUUUGACGAAGCAGGUGAAGAGUACAAAGCUAUCUGAUCCCAACACAGGACUUCAUAUGACAAGCAGUGCAGCUCUGAAACAAAGUAGGCUACCACUGAGCCACCAGCAUUCACAUGUGCCUACACCCUCUUCAUCCGACGCACUUUCUCUGGGUUCACUCGGCAUAUCAGGUGCUACAGGAUACCUGCAUCAGCAACAGCAGCAGUCAUCUGCACAGAAAGAGUAUGCACCAAGUUUUCAGGUCCAUAAAGCAGAUGUUCAUCAUUCUCCCACCAUUCAGUGCAUAUGCCAUCAUCUUCUCAUUCUAUUCUGGAACCUUGUGGCUGUGGGACACUUACAGCUGGAGAAAAUGCACUUAUUGUGCAGUGUUCCACAGAUUUCGGAUUGAACAUUUCACAAUUUAUACUAUGCAUCUUAUUAGCCCCAAUCAAGCAAACAAUUGUAACUAAUCAGGAAGUUUCAGAACAGCACAAAAUCAGCUGGAGAACUUGUUAAGUCAAGUGCGAAGGAGAGAAGAUUCUGUAAUGUUUGGAAGAUGAGAAUAUAAUACUGGCAGUAUUGUAGCAGUGAAGAUGGAUCAUAUGUCAUUCCAGGAUAACUUAAUCAGUAAUAUUAUUGCCCACAAAAGACAAACUUCCAGGUUUGAAUCCUGAUCUAAAAAACAAUUUUACUAUAAUGGAGCAUGUUUUCGGUUGUGUAUUAGAUGUGGUUUAUUUCCUGCUUAGAUACUUUUAUGAAACUUAUAAAGUCUUAAAAAAUAUGUCCAAUCAAUAAAAUAAAUGAACUACAAGAAUAAUAUUUCAUUCCAGAUAAAUGAGAGAAAUCUUGACACUUUGAAAUACAAUUUUGUACUGUUUAUUUCAACAUAAUACUCACAGUUCAUUACUAGUACUCUAUAAAACAAGCUUUGAUGGGAAAGAAGCAGGGCACACAAGAUUUGUACCAGAAAAUAGAAAUUUAUACUAAAUUAAUUGUAUUUGCUACACAAUUUAAUUUGUGCAUGUGUAUUGCCACAACAAGCUAACUGCUAAUGGUGUUUGAAUCAGACAAAUCAUUAGUGGCACAAAUUAUUUGAAAAAAUGAGGAUACUUCAGAGAGUCAAAUUUGUCUUUUCUCCUGUGAAACAGAUUGAUUUCUUUAGUAGCACAAAGAAAUCGGUACAAACUUAAAUAACAACAUUUAAUUUAAGAAAAUAAAUGCCACAUUUCAAUGUUCUGAUUAAAUUAGUUACCAUGAAAUUUAAUACAAUCUAUUAUUUAGUUAGUGAGGUUCAAAGAAAUAGUAACAAAGAUUGAAGACUUUUUUUUUGAAAAUUUGGGAUAUAAAAUGAUAAGUUACAUGUUGUUUCAUAUCAUCAUACAACAUGCAUGCUUGUAUGCAUACACUCACCUAUACACACACAGUCAUGCUUACAUUAGAGGUAAGUUAAGUAUUACAUAAUUUUAUACAUACUGUAUCCCACAUUCAUUCAGUUCAGCAUUUUUACAUCUCAUGUAAAACAGGAAAUAUACAACAUAUGUUACAGGCAAAUGAUCUUGGUUCAUUUAGCACCAUUUAUAAGUAGCAUGCCAUAUAGUUUUGCCAAUACUUGUUUAUCUGAAACACUUGUUAUAAAUAUCAAUUCUACAAUAGUGGAAGAAGUCAAGGAAGUAACUUAUGAUACAUUUGUAGCCUCAUGGAGGUGGGAGUAUACUGCAGCUAGAAUACCUUAGUAUUAAUCUAAUACUGAAAUAUUUAUGUUGGACACAUGAAUUUACCAAUGUGAAAUUUGUAAUGUGUGACAGUUAUCAUACUGCAGUUAACACAUAUUACAGGAGCCUACUGUGGGAGCUGCAGUUGUCCAUACAUUCUCAGAAGUACUUUACAGGAGAUAUGAAGAUAAAUGCAAGAUGAAUAAACUACAAAUUAAAAAUUAAUUUGCUUGUUACCUAUCCAAGCAAUCUCUAAAUGAUUUUUAGCUAUACAAACUAAGACAAGAAAGAAAAAUGUGAGGGAGGAGAAGCCAUGACUGUCAAUAAUGCAGUAACUGGUGCAUUAUUGAAAUCAGAACCACUCCAAUGAUUUCACCAACAUGGUAUUGUCAAAGAAAUGAAAAGUAAAAGUAGCUGUACAUUUUCAGAGUGCUGAAUACCAUUUGCAUAAAUAAUUGUAUUAAAGCAAAGAUGUAUAAUGUAAGUGGUCAUUCUGCUUAAAUGGAUAUGUUAUACUGGUGAUAUAUAUAUAUAUAUAUAUCUACAAAAUUUGUCUAUGAUACUUCAUAAAAAUUUCAUUGUUUGCCUAACUGUUAUGAUGUUUUAGUUACAAAAUGAAACUUAUACAUUGUAACAGCCAUGUAAUGCACCAAGUUAUAGUAUGAAGCAAUGAUCCAUUAUUACUGCUAAUAUGGAAAUUCAACAAAUUUGCUUCUGUUUACUAUUUUUCCUAUUAUAACUUUCAGGAUACUGGAUGUAAAUUUCAUAUGGCAGUGAUGUUGCAUGUGUACUUUCCAGAACACUUAUUUCACCAGCCUUUAAUACUGUCCUCUUUACUACCAUUAAUAAUUGGCAUUACUGAAACAUGUUUUUCUUAGAGACUAAACACUGCACACUUCUUUCAGUAGUUGAAAGACGUCUUUGCUGCUGUGUAGAUGUACUUUUAGAGUUAACAUUUUGUUGUUUAAUAUAAAAAGGCAUCUGAGAUGCAACGAAAAUCAAAUUAAUUUACCCUGUUGCCUUGUAUAUGAUACAUGUUUUGUAUUGCCAUUUAAGAUUUUGACCAUAUAAAUGUCAUAUUCAUAUGCCACCACACUCAAACAUUCAUUUUAUU